CCUACGGGCGGCAGCAGUGGGGAAUAUUGGACAAUGGGGGGAACCCUGAUCCAGCCAUGCCGCGUGUGUGAAGAAGGCCCUCGGGUUGUAAAGCACUUUCAGUGAGGAAGAACGCCUGGUGGUUAAUACCCAUCAGGAAAGACAUCACUCACAGAAGAAGCACCGGCUAACUCCGUGCCAGCAGCCGCGGUAAUACGGAGGGUGCGAGCGUUAAUCGGAAUUACUGGGCGUAAAGCGCGCGUAGGUGGCUUGAUAAGCCGGUUGUGAAAGCCCCGGGCUCAACCUGGGAACGGCAUCCGGAACUGUCAAGCUAGAGUGCAGGAGAGGAAGGUAGAAUUCCCGGUGUAGCGGUGAAAUGCGUAGAGAUCGGGAGGAAUACCAGUGGCGAAGGCGGCCUUCUGGACUGAAACUGACACUGAGGUGCGAAAGCGUGGGUAGCAAACAGGAUUAGAUACCCCAGUAGUC
rnacentral:rRNA from 1 species